rnacentral:rRNA from 1 species
AUAAGUGUCUAAGGGCGCAUGGUGGAUGCCUUGGCAUCGAGAGCCGAUGAAGGACGUGGGAGGCUGCGAUAUGCCUCGGGGAGCUGUCAACCUAGCGUGGAUCCGAGGAUUUCCGAAUGGGGAAACCCAGCACGAGUGAUGUCGUGUUACCCGCACCUGAAUAUAUAGGGUGCGGGGGGGAACGCGGGGAAGUGAAACAUCUCAGUACCCGUAGGAAAAGAAAACAAUUGUGAUUCCGUAAGUAGUGGCGAGCGAACGCGGAAAAUGGCUAAACCGCACGCAUGUUUAACCGGGUAGGGGUUGUGUGUGCGGGGUUGUGGGAAUGAUAUGUCUCAGCUCUACCUGGCUGAGAGGCAGUCAGAAAGUGUCGCAGUUAACGGAAAUGGCCUGGGAUGGUCUGCCGUAGACGGUGAGAGCCCGGUACGUGAAAACCCGGCACCUGCCUAGUAUCAACUCCCGAGUAGCAGCGGGCCCGUGGAAUCUGCUGUGAAUCUGCCGGGACCACCCGGUAAGCCUAAAUACUACUCGAUGACCGAUAGCGGAUUAGUACCGUGAGGGAAUGGUGAAAAGUACCCCGGGAGGGGGAGUGAAAGAGUACCUGAAACCGUGCGCCUACAAUCCGUCAGAGCCUCCUCGUGGGGUGAUGGCGUGCCUUUUGAAGAAUGAGCCUGCGAGUCAGGGACAUGUCGCGAGGUUAACCCGAGUGGGGUAGCCGCAGCGAAAGCGAGUCUGAAUAGGGCGUAUCCCCGUAAGGGGUGUAGUGGCAUGUUCUGGACCCGAAGCGGAGUGAUCUACCCAUGGCCAGGGUGAAGCGCGGGUAAGACCGCGUGGAGGCCCGAACCCACUUAGGUUGAAGACUGAGGGGAUGAGCUGUGGGUAGGGGUGAAAGGCCAAUCAAACUCCGUGAUAGCUGGUUCUCCCCGAAAUGCAUUUAGGUGCAGCGUUGCGUGUUUCACCACGGAGGUAGAGCUACUGGAUGGCCGAUGGGCCCUACUAGGUUACUGACGUCAGCCAAACUCCGAAUGCCGUGGUGUGAAGCGUGGCAGUGAGACGGCGGGGGAUAAGCUCCGUACGUCGAGAGGGAAACAGCCCAGAUCGCCGGCUAAGGCCCCAAAGCGUGUGCUAAGUGGAAAAGGAUGUGCAGUCGCAGAGACAACCAGGAGGUUGGCUUAGAAGCAGCCACCCUUGAAAGAGUGCGUAAUAGCUCACUGGUCAAGUGAUUGUGCGCCGAUAAUGUAGCGGGGCUCAAGCACACCGCCGAAGCCGCGACAACCGCAAGGUUGGGUAGGGGAGCGUCCCUCAUUCAGCGAAGCUGCCGGGUAACCGGUGGUGGAGGAUGGGGGAGUGAGAAUGCAGGCAUGAGUAGCGAUAAGGCAAGUGAGAACCUUGCCCGCCGAAAGACCAAGGGUUCCUGGGCCAGGCCAGUCCGCCCAGGGUGAGUCGGGACCUAAGGCGAGGCCGACAGGCGUAGUCGAUGGACAACGGGUUGAUAUUCCCGUACCCGUGUGUGCGCGCCCGUGAUGAAUCAGCGGUACUAACCACCCAAAACCGGAUCGAUCAUUCCCCUUCGGGGGCGUGGAGUUCCGGGGCUGCGUGGAACCUUCGUUGGUAGUAGUCAAGCGACGGGGUGACGCAGGAAGGCAGCCGUACCAGUCAGUGGUAAUACUGGGGCAAGCCCGUAGGGAGAGCGAUAGGCAAAUCCGUCGCUCAUUAAUCCUGAGAGGUGAUGCAUAGCCGAUUGAGGCGAAUUCGGUCAUCCUCUGCUGCCAAGAAAAGCCUCUAUCGAGCACACACACGGCCCGUACCCCAAACCAACACAGGUGGUCAGGUAGAGAAUACCAAGGCGUACGAGAUAACUAUGGUUAAGGAACUCGGCAAAAUGCCCCCGUAACUUCGGGAGAAGGGGGACCGGAAUACCGUGAACACCCUUGCGGUGGGAGCGGGAUUCGGUCGCAGAAACCAGUGGGGAGCGACUGUUUACUAAAAACACAGGUCCGUGCGAAGUCGCAAGACGAUGUAUACGGACUGACGCCUGCCCGGUGCUGGAAGGUUAAGAGGACCCGUUAACUCGUAAGGGUGAAGCGGAGAAUUUAAGCCCCAGUAAACGGCGGUGGUAACUAUAACCAUCCUAAGGUAGCGAAAUUCCUUGUCGGGUAAGUUCCGACCUGCACGAAUGGCGUAACGACUUCCCAACUGUCUCAACCAUAGACUCGGCGAAAUUGCACUACGAGUAAAGAUGCUCGUUACGCGCGGCAGGACGAAAAGACCCCGGGACCUUCACUACAACUUGGUAUUGGUGUUCGGUUCGGUUUGUGUAGGAUAGGUGGGAGACUGUGAAACUCCAACGCCAGUUGGGGCGGAGUCAUUGUUGAAAUACCACUCUGAUCGUAUUGGACACCUAACGUCGAACCCUGAAUCGGGUUCACGGACAGUGCCUGGCGGGUAGUUUAACUGGGGCGGUUGCCUCCUAAAAUGUAACGGAGGCGCCCAAAGGUUCCCUCAACCUGGACGGCAAUCAGGUGACGAGUGUAAGUGCACAAGGGAGCUUGACUGCGAGACCUACAAGUCAAGCAGGGACGAAAGUCGGGACUAGUGAUCCGGCACCUCUGAGUGGAAGGGGUGUCGCUCAACGGAUAAAAGGUACCCCGGGGAUAACAGGCUGAUCUCCCCAAGAGUCCAUCGACGAUUC